rnacentral:rRNA from 1 species
ACCCCGAUGGGAAGGCAGAUUUUGGCCGUAACUGACGUGAGAGGAAAGGUGGGAGCAAACAGGUUAGAUACCCUGGUAGUCCACCCCGUAACGUUGGAACUAGUUGUGGGGACCAUUCCACGGUUUCCGUGACGCAGUAACGCAUUAAGUUCCCCGCCUGGGGAGUACGGCCGCAAGGCUAAAACUCAAAGGAAUUGACGGGGACCCGCACAAGCGGCGGAGCAUGCGGAUUAAUUCGAUGCAACGCGAAGAACCUUACCAAGGCUUGACAUACACCAGAACGGGCCAGAAAUGGUCAACUCUUUGGACACUGGUGAACAGGUGGUGCAUGGUUGUCGUCAGCUCGUGUCGUGAGAUGUUGGGUUAAGUCCCGCAACGAGCGCAACCCUCGUUCUAUGUUGCCAGCACGUAAUGGUGGGAACUCAUGGGAUACUGCCGGGGUCAACUCGGAGGAAGGUGGGGAUGACGUCAAAUCAUCAUGCCCCUUAUGUCUUGGGCUUCACGCAUGCUACAAUGGCCGGUACAAAGGGCUGCAAUACCGUGAGGUGGAGCGAAUCCCAAAAAGCCGGUCCCAGUUCGGAUUGAGGUCUGCAACUCGACCUCAUGAAGUCGGAGUCGCUAGUAAUCGCAGAUCAGCAACGCUGCGGUGAAUACGUUCCCGGGUCUUGUACACACCGCCCGUCAAGUCAUGAAAGUCGGUAACACCUGAAGCCGGUGGCCCAAACCCUUGUGGAGGGAGCCGUCGA